CCUACGGGAGGCAGCAGUGAGGAAUAUUGGUCAAUGGGCGCGAGCCUGAACCAGCCAAGUAGCGUGAAGGAUGACGGCCCUACGGGGUGUAAACUUCUUUUAUAAAGGAAUAAAGUGAGGCACGUGUGCCUUUUUGUAUGUACGUUAUGAAUAAGGAUCGGCGAACUCCGUGCCAGCAGCCGCGGUAAUACGGAGGAUCCGAGCGUUAUCCGGAUUUAUUGGGUUGAAAGGGAGCGUAGAUGGGUUGUUAAGUCAGUUGUUAAAGUUUGCGGCUCAACCGUAAAAUUGCAAUUGAUACUGACAGUCUUGCGUACCGUUGCGGUCGGCGUCCUUCUUGGUGUAGCGGUGACCUGCUUCGAUCUCACGCAUAACUCCGCUUGCGCCUGCAGCUUACUACCCUGCCCCU
rnacentral:rRNA from 1 species